UGCCGAGAAAAACUUCGGUAGUUAACUGCAGCCGGUUUCAUGUUUCCUCGGCAGUUAACUACCGAGGGGUAU
rnacentral:pre_miRNA from 1 species